UAAUGAUCCACAAAUAUAAUGUAAUAACGAAAACCAUCUUGAGAUUGCACAGGAGCAGGGCCCUAUAAAUCUGAAUAUACAAGUUCAAGAGGACAAGUGCUUGUUAAGGAUGAAAUACCAAUGGAUAGAUAACCUAUGACUUUUAUUACAUUUGCAAGGAUUACAAACAGCCUCUUUUACUGAAGACACAGGAAUAGCAAACUUAAACAAGA
rnacentral:misc_RNA from 1 species